rnacentral:lncRNA from 1 species
CCCAAAGUCGUAGAUCAAGGAGUUUAUUGAUCACUGUAUUUGAGUUUGAGAUCUAUAAAGAUAAGGAUCCCUUUACAUAAUCAUCUGUAUAUAAGUAAAUAUUUUUAUAUUAUGUGUGAUGAUUUUUAAUUUUGUGCCAAAUGAUUCUUGUUGAUGUAUGAUUGCUGAUACAAAUAUAUAAGCAUAUGAUUCUUUAUUGUAUACAUAUAUCCCAU